AGAAAAUGAAAUCGCAGCCACUUGCCACUUAUGUUUAGAAACGUAAGAUAACUUACGUCUGACAUUUCAGUUGGAUUUAUUAGCAAAUUGAUGAGAAAUAAAUUAUAAGUUCCUUAUUUAAUUCAAAAAUUAAUGGUAAUAUCAUGGUUUGGUCAUCUCACAUGUGCUAUUAAUUAGUUAAUUAUGACAACUGUUUUUCAUUUAAUCCGCAUAAACUAAAAUUGCAUUAAUUACAAAAUUCUAAAUAGGGUAAUCAUCGUAUGUAUAGUGAAUAAACGUGAAAAUCUGGUUUGUUGAUUGUUCAAAAGCCAAUGAACUCUAAAAUUAAAAUCAUAAUGUUCAUGUACUCCAAAAUUAAAGAAAGCAACAUCACAAUGAAGUUUCUAAUUAAGCUAGUGUUCUAGAUUUAUUUGAGUUUCUAGAACGAAUGAAAAUUCGAGACAUGCACAUUGCCCGAAUCAACCGAUUUGAGUGUAGAAUGUUCAUUUGUUUAAUGUGAAUAAGCAUGAAUUAUUAAUUAAUUAAGAAAAUUACUCAAGAAUUGAUAAUGGGAUUUGCUCAAGUAAAACAAGGAUAUAAAGUAUCUAAAAAGAAUAUUUGAGUAUUCCAAAUCACAUGCCUUUGAUCAAGUUCACAAUAAGUCUGCAUGAUUUUAUAUACAAGGACGGAUUUACAAAAAAUUUAAAUCUAAUGUCUACUUGAGUUGUAAUAAAUUUUUAAAGUUUUCAGGGCAUGCCCAGUUUUGUUAAGUAAAAUAUCGGACCAAAAUUAAAUAUAAAUAUAUUUACUAAAUAUUUUAGUUGUUGUACGUUUAAAAUUAAGUAAAAUUAUGAUAUUAUGGCUUACAAAAUUAGAGUAAAAUUACCUCAAACAAAAUCUCAAAGGACUUAGCUAUGGUGUAACUGUGGUACCAUACUACAACUGCACCUAGUCAUUAGAUUUUUCACGAAUCCAAAGGCUAGGUGCAAAUUGUGAUAUGGUAUCACAAUUACACUGUAACUGGACCCCAUCUCAAAUCUACACAAUCCAAAUUUUCUAUGACAUAAUAUUAGUGCGUAAAAAUUGAAAAAUAAAAUGAAACGUAAUAUACGACAAUUAUUGAAAGGUUAUGCUUGCUCACCCAACACAAAUCCCCUUUAACAGUUCGAAAUUCCAUCCAGAUUAUGGAUCCUUGACUUCAAAAAAUUGAAAAAAAAAAUCCCAAUCAAAUUCAAAAUCUGCUAAUCAUAGAGCAAAAAUUAGACUUUGAUUAGGUUACUUAAAUAGAGCAAAUUAUAAUAAUAUUAUAAAGCAUAGCAUUUUUGAAAUUUUAAGUAUGUUUAAGAAAAAAAUGCAGAACUGAAGGCAUCUGACAAGAUUCUGAUUUUGACUGACGCUCCUGAGGAGAGAGAUUGCAGUCAUCACAAUUAAUGCAUGCAGAAACUGCUUUAAUAUUUUGAACCAGCCCUGUCCACCAGAUUAGAUUAGCAAGCACCAGUGCCCCAACACAACAUAAAGUUAAAGUGUUAAACCACACCCCCCACACACACACCAAAAAAAAAUAAAAAAAAAAUUCCUUAACAAAUCACAAUCACAUAAUUGAAAAAAAAAAAAAAGAGAAAAGAAGAAGCAUAUUCACAAAGAAAAAGGAUAAUUCACAAUCACAUGAUCCUCUAGCUCAUUUCUCUUAGCAAACAGAAGGAAUCAGAGAAUUCAGAAUCUUACAAAUCCCUUCUAGGCAAAAUUAAAGCAGAUGAUGAAUUGAUGAUGAUGAUGAAAGAAGCCUUUUUUUUUAAAAAAAAAAAAACUUCUUUUCCCCCAUAUACAUCAUCAAUGAUACAAUUCCAAGCGCCUAGAGCAUAAACUACAAAAAUACUUCUUUUUAAUCUUGUAGCAGAUGGGCAAGAAGCAGAACCUGCACUGACUCUCGAAAUCAAUGGCUAAAACUUUGCCUCCACAGUACGGACAUGAACCUGGAGCUUGUUGCCUCCCCAGCUCCCUCUCUUCUUCUGAGCAGACGUACACUAAACACAUUUUCUUCCUCCUUUAUCUGAUCUCUCGGGACUAAUUAUUAUUUGGGUUAGGCUAAUGGGUGUUCUUUUCUCUUCUCUCUAUUAUUAUUAUUAUUAUUAUUUUAUAUUUUUUGAGUGUUUCGGUGGGGAAAAUGUAAACAGAGCAAACUGAAGGCUCUCGAAAUGAUGUUGUGUCCAGACAGCAUUUAUAUAGAACACCAUACGGGUUGGUUGGAGACAAAUAUCAAAUAUUACCGGGUUACUUUUUACUUUUAAUAUUUACCAUUGCGAAAAAAAAAUUUAAGGUGAAAUAAUC
rnacentral:lncRNA from 1 species